rnacentral:rRNA from 1 species
CCUACGGGAGGCAGCAGUGGGGAAUAUUGCACAAUGGGGGAAACCCUGAUGCAGCGAUGCCGCGUGAAGGAAGAAGGUUUUCGGAUUGUAAACUCCUUUUAUCAGGGACGAUAAUGACGGUACCUAAAGAAAAAGCUCCAGCUAACUACGUGCCAGCAGCCGCGGUAAUACGUAGGGAGCGAGCGGUGUCCGGAAUUACGGGGUGGAAAGGGAGCGUAGGCGGGACGGCAAGUCAGAUGUGAAAACUGAGGGGUCAACCUUCAGACUGCAUUUGAAACUGCUGUUCUUGAGUGAAGUAGAGGUAAGCGGAAUUCGUAGUGUAGCGGUGAAAUGCGUAGAUAUUAGGAGGAACAUCGGUGGCGAAGGCGGCUUACUGGGCUUUUACUGACGCUGAGGCUCGAAAGCGUGGGGAGCAAACAGGAUUAGAUACCCCAGUAGUC